rnacentral:rRNA from 1 species
UACAGAGGUGGCAAGCGUUGUUCGGAAUUACUGGGCGUAAAGGGCGCGUAGGCGGCCCACUAAGUCAGACGUGAAAUCCCCCGGCUUAACCUGGGAACUGCAUCCGAUACUGGCGGGCUUGAAUCCGGGAGAGGGAUGUGGAAUUCCAGGUGUAGCGGUGAAAUGCGUAGAUAUCUGGAGGAACACCGGUGGCGAAGGCGGCAUCCUGGACCGGUAUUGACGCUGAGGCGCGAAAGCUAGGGGAGCAAACGGG